rnacentral:rRNA from 1 species
AGCGAACGCUGGCGGCAGGCCUAACACAUGCAAGUCGAACGGAUCCUUCGGGAUUAGUGGCGGACGGGUGAGUAACACGUGGGAACGUGCCCUUUGGUUCGGAACAACUCAGGGAAACUUGAGCUAAUACCGGAUGUGCCCUUCGGGGGAAAGAUUUAUCGCCAUUGGAGCGGCCCGCGUCUGAUUAGCUAGUUGGUGAGGUAACGGCCCACCAAGGCGACGAUCAGUAGCUGGUCUGAGAGGAUGAUCAGCCACACUGGGACUGAGACACGGCCCAGACUCCUACGGGAGGGAGCAGUGGGGAAUCUUGCGCAAUGGGGGAAAGCCUGACGCAGCCAUGCCGCGUGAAUGAUGAAGGUCGUAGGAUUGUAAAAUUCUUUCAGCGGGGACGAUAAUGACGGUACCCGCAGAAGAGGCUCCGGCUAACUACGUG